UUGAGGACCUUAGCCGACAGUGGAGG
rnacentral:piRNA from 1 species